rnacentral:lncRNA from 1 species
AGUGAGGUUUGGAGGUAAACAUUCUAUUGAGCACUCUAUACCUCCUCCACAAUCAGUCACAGAGAUAGAUUGAAGGGAAGUGAGGCUUUGCAUCUGAUUGGGUAGAGACCUCAAAUUUUUGCACCGAUGAAUAUGAAAAUAGACAAGCUUGGGAUUGGGCAAUCCCAUCUCUGGGAACAACUCUAAUUGAUGACAGCCCCCUAUUUCUAAAUUUUGGAGACUCUGGAAGUUUUGCAUAUGAUUGGAUAGAGACCUCAAUCCUUGACAGUCGGCGAUCUUUAAAGAGACAAGAGAAGGGAUGGGCAAUUCCUUACCAGGAAACGAUUCUAAUUGAGGACAGUUCCAUAUUUGUAAAUCUGUAAGAUGAGAAAGCCCAUAAUAUAGCGAGUUUAAUAAUUGUGUCGUCCAGUUGCAAAUGUUAAGAGUCUUGAGGGAAUCAGGAAACUUUCCAUUUGAAGAAGAAUCGAGAGAUCCGCAUCCAAAGAUACACAAUUCCUCGAGAUGAGACGUCUCACUACUGUAAUUACUGUGACACACAAUUCCCUCCGGCAGAGACUCCAAAGAUUCACAGUUAUUCAUGCUAAGAUAUAUCAAGUUGUGCGGCAAACCCCCUACUGGGAAGGAGACUAAACUCCUACAUUGGCUUAUUUUCAAAUCUUCAAGAGAUUUGAGGUCUUUCAGUCCACUUGGUAACUCCUUCAGAUUUGGACACAAAUCUAUGUCCAAAACUUCAAGGUUGCAAGGCAAAAGCCCUUCCUCUCCAUCUACCAAUGACACAAGCUCAUGACAUCCUCCAAUUUCCAAACGCUUUAGGCUAGUAAGACAGGUGGCAUUAGUCACACUCUUGAGAAAUGCUACUUGACAUCUUCUAAUAUUGAGUGUUAUAAGUGAUGGGAGCACUUUUGGUAAUUCAACCAAGAGCGGGCAAUUAAUAAUGACAAGUUUUUCCAGGGAAGGAAGGAAGUUGGGCAAUUUUUCAACCAACUUGGAACAAUUUUGUAUAUGGAGUUCUUGCAGCUUAGGAAAUUUUGCCACAGAAUCUUCAUCCAGCCCAUUUGACCAAGCCCACUGCUCCCACUCACCCAUAUUAACAAUCUCUAGCGUUUCCAAACAAGAAAAACAUGAUUCAUCCCCAUAAAACUCCACACCAACUUCCUUCACUCCACUUAAGCCUUUUAUGCUCAACCUUUUUAAUGACUUUAAUCGUCCGAGUGGUGGCAGUGAAGUAAUUUGAUGACAGUUGCUCAGCUCCACCUGCACCGUGCCAGAGAAUGAAGGCUCACCUAGCCACAAUGGGAAUUUCCUCCCACCAAAUGAUGUAAUUGAUAGGCUUGAUAGACUUUGAUGUGGCCGUAUUGAGUUGAGAACUUGUUCUUCAUGACUUGGGUUUCUCGAAUCAUAAGAAAAUUCAUCAGUCCAUUUCAAGUAUAACUCGGUGAUACCAGGCUUAUCCUUCAGAAUGGCAAAAGCCGCAUCUCCAAUAUCUUCCACUUCGACAUUCUCCAAACUUGUAAUAUGAAGCUGCCCUCGAAGAUCACAAAGUUUCUUCAGCUCUGUGAUCCGUCCAUUGCUUUUCCCCACGAUAAAUUUGGUCAACACGCAGAGACUAGUCAAAUUACCAAUAUGUGGUGGCAUCUCUUUCAAUUUUGUUGUGCCAAUAAUAUCAAGAUGCAGCAAGUUGAGUAAAUUGCAAAUGCCUUUAGGUAACUCAAUAAGCUCAUAACAAUCGAACAACUUUAAUGUCUGCAAGUUGAAGAGUUUAUCCACUGAUUCAGGCAAUCUUUUGAUUAAAGUAACAGACAAGUUGAGGUAGCGCAAGUGUUUCAAGUCACCAAUAGAAUCCGGCAACUCCUCAAUCACAAGGUGAGGUAGAGAUAGUGACCUUAAGCAUUUUAAUUUUGGCACCAAGUCAUGCACCACCUUACUAGUUAGGUAGCAUCUCCCCACAUCACGACCCCGGGAUAACAAUGUCCGCAAAUUCUUCAUUUCAUAGAAGCUUUGAAAUCUUUGUAAAGUGUUCAUAAAAUGAGGAAUAAAUGAAGAAUGUCUAAUCUUUGCAUAUGAUUUUGCAUUAUCCAACUUAUCAACCAUAUGCAAACAUAUUUCUCUGCUAACAAAGCAAGCUAAAUCAAUGAUUAGGUCGUGCAUUAUAUAUUUUGAUUCAUUAUCAUUUGAUUGUUGGAAAAACGAUCUUGAUAAUAAAUCAUCGAAAUAUUUAUGACCCAAACCUUCACUCUCCUUCAUUUUCUUCUGGUCAUACAAGAAACCCUCAGCCAUCCACAGCAAAACCAAUUCAUUCCUAUCAAACUCACGAUCUUUUGGUAGUAUUGCACAAUAAGAGAAACAUUGCUUCAAAUGAGGUGGAAGAUGAAGAUAACUCAACCUUAAGGCUGGAAGAAUAUUGUUGUCGUUGUCUGGUAACUCCCAUAUCUGACUGCUCAAUACUUCCUUCCACAAAUUAGGAUUUGGUUUACCCCUUAAUAUGCCUCCAAGAGCUUUUGCUGCCAAAGGUAAUCCUCCACAUCGUUUGACAAUCCCUUCACCCAUUUCUUUCAGCUUCAAGUGCUUGUCAAAAUUAUUUGCUCCCAAAGCAUGCUGGGCAAACACAGACAUGCUUUCAUGGUGUGACAGCUUGUUAAGAGCAUAUGCUUGAGUAGCACCCACCUUUAAUGAAACAUCCUGACUUCGAGUCGUGACGAUAACUCUGCUUUGAGGAGCCCCUGCUUCAAAAGGACCCCAAAACAGAGUCCAUUGCUCAUAGUUCUGAGUCCAAACAUCAUCUAGGACAACUAAAAACUUCUUCCCAGACAACUUUUGCUUCAAUUUUACCUGAAGCAAAUUUAAAUCAUUAUCAUCACCACCAUCACCCAAUUGAAAAAGAACUGUUUUUGUGACCCUAAAAACAUCAAAACCUUCGCCAACAGAAACCCAGGCUUUCAAAUCAAGCUCCAACGUGGGGUCAUUGUAGACUAGCUGAGCUAGAGUUGUCUUGCCAAGGCCUCCCAUCCCAACUAUGGAAAUCACAGACACCUGGGCAUCACUUGUCUCAGCAUUCAACAAUUUCAACAUCGCCUUCUUAUCUUCCUCCCUACCAUAAACCUUUGCUUCAUUAACCAAAGAGGUCGAGGGUGGUCUUUCUGUCACAUGGCUGACCCUCCUUCUGAUAGACUCUACUAAACGGAGUUCAUCUUUCUGCUUUAUUAUCUCAUCUAAUCGAGCACUAGUUUCCUCUAUUUUGGCAACCAUCUCAGCAUUGAACUUAAUAGCAUUUAGAGUAAGAUUCGCCCCACCACACAUAACAGAGAAAAAUUUGUGCACCUUAUUUGGACGAACAGGUUUGUCUUCCAACUUGCGUCGCCGAAACUCCGUGGCAAGUUCAUCAAUGAUAUCCUCCAGGUCGUAAGCCAAGUCUCUGAGAUCGCUUAACCAGAUCUCCACCAAUCGAUUUGCCGUCUGCUUCUCCUCUGCAUCUUCAAGCACCGCAUAAAUUCUCUUGAGAAUCUUUUCCCACUUCUUGAGUUCAGCCAAGACUUGACCUUGGCCUACAUAUUUCAUCAAGUCAAUGGAAUUCAACCUAUCGAGAAGCCCCUGAAAGCAAACAGAGAGGAUAGAGCCUCCAACAGCAGUGACAAUAUCCAUGGAAAAUAGUGAGUUGUGAGAGAAAAAUUAAACUAUAAAGUUUCGAGUUUGAAGGCAAGAGUUUGCAAAGACAGCUUGUCUGAUGCUCUUUUGCUGCCUUUACCGAAGGGUCUCGGAGCUCUACAGUCAUGGCGUCCCCGCCAAACUAGUGGUCGAUUAUUUAAUAAUCAGAUGAGCUAAUCAAUGAUCAGUUGCUUUAACUUUUGAGGACCUGAGAGGCAACAAUGAAAAAGAAGGCAUAAUAAUGGGUUUUUGGUGAUCUCCCACUUCCACAUUUUUUAAUGCAAAUAUUCCAUCGCACCAUGAUUUUUCGAAAUUAAAAAAAAAAAAAAAGCAAAGUAUAAAGAUGAAAAUCUUAUUAAUUAAUCCAAAAUUAAAAUAAUUAAAUAUAAAUUAAUCAUUCUAUUGAUAAAUUAUAAAAAAAAAUAUUGAGGCAAUCUCAUCAACUAUUAAUUUAUAUUCUAAAUUUAUUAAUUGUUGAUACUAUAUUAUAAUUAUUUAAAAUAAGUUAUAAAUUAUUACCCCAAAAUAAAUUUAUAUGGUAAAAAUUUGAAUAGUAAUACGAUUUCACUGAAGAAAUAAAGAUCCGUACAUCUUUUAACACCUGAAUCUCGACACAAAGAGAUAGAUUGGAGGUAAACAUUCUAUUGAGCACUCUAUACCUCCUCCACAAUCAGACACAGAGAUAGAUUGAAGGGAAGUGAGGCUUUGCAUCUGAUUGGGUAGAGACCUCAAAUUUUUGCACGGAUGAAUUUGAAAAUAGACAAGCUUGGGAUUGGGCAAUCCCAUCUCUGGGAACAACUCUAAUUGAUGACAGCCCCUAUUUCUAACUUUUGGAGACUCUGGAAGUUUUGCAUAUGAUUGGAUAGAGACCUCAAUCCUUGACAAUCGGCGAUUUUUAAAGAGACAAGAGAAGAGAUGG